CGAACGCUGGCGGCAGGCCUAACACAUGCAAGUCGAGCGCAGUCCUUCGGGACCGAGCGGCGGACGGGUUAGUAACGCGUGGGAAUAUACCCAGAUCUAAGGAAUAGCCUCGGGAAACUGAGAGUAAUACCUUAUACGCCCUUCGGGGGAAAGAUUUAUCGGAUUUGGAUUAGCCCGCGUUAGAUUAGAUAGUUGGUGGGGUAAUGGCCUACCAAGUCUACGAUCUAUAGCUGGUUUUAGAGGAUGAUCAGCAACACUGGGACUGAGACACGGCCCAGACUCCUACGGGAGGCAGCAGUGGGGAAUCUUAGACAAUGGGCGAAAGCCUGAUCUAGCCAUGCCGCGUGUGUGAUGAAGGCCCUAGGGUCGUAAAGCACUUUCGCCAGAGAUGAUAAUGACAGUAUCUGGUAAAGAAACCCCGGCUAACUCC
rnacentral:rRNA from 1 species